rnacentral:rRNA from 1 species
AUUGAACGCUGGCGGCAUGCCUUACACAUGCAAGUCGAACGGCAGCACGGGUGCUUGCACCUGGUGGCGAGUGGCGAACGGGUGAGUAAUACAUCGGAACAUGUCCUGUAGUGGGGGAUAGCCCGGCGAAAGCCGGAUUAAUACCGCAUACGAUCUACGGAUGAAAGCGGGGGACCUUCGGGCCUCGCGCUAUAGGGUUGGCCGAUGGCUGAUUAGCUAGUUGGUGGGGUAAAGGCCUACCAAGGCGACGAUCUGUAGCUGGUCUGAGAGGACGACCAGCCACACUGGAACUGAGACACGGCCCAGACUCCUACGGGAGGCAGCAGUGGGGAAUUUUGGACAAUGGGCGAAAGCCUGAUCCAGCAAUGCCGCGUGUGUGAAGAAGGCCUUCGGGUUGUAAAGCACUUUUGUCCGGAAAGAAAUCCUUGGCCCUAAUACGGUCGGGGGAUGACGGUACCGGAAGAAUAAGCACCGGCUAACUACGUG